CCUUACCUGGUCUUGACAUAGUAAGAACUUUCCAGAGAUGGAUUGGUGCCUUCGGGAACUUACAUACAGGUGCUGCAUGGCUGUCGUCAGCUCGUGUCGUGAGAUGGUUGGGUUAAGUCCCGCAACGAGCGCAACCCUUUUCCUUAUUGCCAGCGGUUAAGCCGGGAACUUUAAGGAUACUGCCAGUGACAAACUGGAGGAAGGCGGGGACGACGUCAAGUCAUCAUGGCCCUUACGACCAGGGCUACACACGUGCUACAAUGGUCGGUACAAAGGGUUGCUACCACGCGAGUGGAUGCUAAUCUCAAAAAGCCGAUCGUAGUCCGGAUUGGAGUCUGCAACUCGACUCCAUGAAGUCGGAAUCGCUAGUAAUCGCGGAUCAGAAUGCCGCGGUGAAUACGUUCCCGGGCCUUGUACACACCGCCCGUCACACCAUGGGAGUUUGUUGCACCAGAAGUAGGUAGUCUAACCUUAGGGGGGACGCUUACCACGGUGUGGCAGAUGACUGGGGUGAAGUCGUAACAAGGUAAGCGUAGAUGA
rnacentral:rRNA from 1 species